AUUGAACGCUGGCGGCAUGCCUUACACAUGCAAGUCGAACGGCAGCGGGGGAGAAGCUUGCUUUUCCUGCCGGCGAGUGGCGAACGGGUGAGUAAUACAUCGGAACGUGCCCUGUAGUGGGGGAUAACUAGUCGAAAGAUUAGCUAAUACCGCAUACGACCUGAGGGUGAAAGUGGGGGACCGCAAGGCCUCAUGCUAUAGGAGCGGCCGAUGUCUGAUUAGCUAGUUGGUGGGGUAAAGGCCUGCCAAGGCGACGAUCAGUAGCUGGUCUGAGAGGAGGAUCAGCCCCACUGGGACUGAGAAACGGCCCAGACUCCUACGGGAGGCAGCAUUGGGGAAUUUUGGACAAUGGGCGAAAGCCUGAUCCAGCAAUGCCGCGUGUGUGAAGAAGGCCUUCGGGUUGUAAAGCACUUUUGUCCGGAAAGAAAUGGCUCUGGUUAAUACCUGGGGUCGAUGACGGUACCGGAAGAAUAAGGACCGGCUAACUACGUGCCAGCCGCCGCCGUAA
rnacentral:rRNA from 1 species